GCCGACACCUUGGUCUUGGACUUCCAGCCUCCAGGACGACCUGUACAGCGCCAGGAGGGCACGGGCCGUGUGAAUCAGCCUCCGUUUGCCCACCCUCCCUCCUGCCUUUGAAAAGUCCUAAUUCCUGCUGGCACAACCAGAGUGACGCUGAUUUUACAAGUGGCACUAUCUGUGUCCCUAUGGAGGGAGGAGUGAAGGAUGGUGCCAGCGUUGGUGGGAGAGGAGAUGGGACCAGCAGCAGCUCCCUCCCCCACCCCAACCUUUCAAAGAGGAAUGUUGGAAGAUUUGCUACAGCCAGGACCAUUUCCUCCAGCUCCCAGUAGGAGAAGCUGUGAGACUAGCCGUGGCCAAUGAGCUGUCAGCCAAAGCGGCGUGUCCCUUCUGGGCUGGACAAUAAUUGCCUGUGUAGGACUCUCGCAUGCUGUCUGUUCUGGCUGUGGCAGCCGAGAGGGUCGUCUUGUGUUUGCUGAUUGUGUGGGGGGAGCCUCCUCCCAUCCCCGCCUGUUGAAUGUCAUUUCGAGGUGUAACGAUGAGGGGAAGAGAGAGACGGAAACUCCUCCCCAGGUGUGUGCUCACUCUCCUCUAGGGUGCUGUCUGAAAAAGCCGUCCUGCACGGGGGAUAAAGUGACUCAAUAAAUGGGGGUAUUAUUGGGAAUCUCUUCUGGGUGUGGUGAGUGCUCGAUUUACCUUAGGACCUGAAAAACAACUGAUUGGCCCGUGGACUAUUCAGAAAGGAUUCAAGAAUUUGCUUUUCCAUCCAUGAAUGGACAUUUGGAUACAUUGCACAUUUAUAGAUGCCUUUUGGAAUUCUUUCCACUCUUAACUUUUUUUUUUUUGUCAUCACAUACUCCAUGACCUAUGAGUUAUACUUAGAAAUCCAGGCCUCUGGUCCCCAAACUCCAUUGUCUGCAUUCAAUUGUUGUGUAAUAAAUGUUUCUUCAGCAUCCUGCAUUCAAAUUCUGGCUCCCCUGGAGGGCAUCUGCCAGCUUUUGUUUUAUGGAGCUCCACAUGUUUAAUCUUUCUCGAAUUGUUUCAUGGGUGUCUGCAGAGUUUGCAUUAUUCACUCCAGAA